rnacentral:rRNA from 1 species
AGUCACUGACAUUAGAUACCCCGGUAGUCCCAGCCGUAAACUAUGCGCGUUAGGUGUACUGGUGACCACGAGUCACCGGGGUGCCGAAGGGAAACCGUGAAACGUGCCGCCUGGGAAGUACGGUCGCAAGGCUGAAACUUAAAGGAAUUGGCGGGGGAGCACCGCAACGGGAGGAGCGUGCGGUUUAAUUGGAUUCAACACCGUAAACUCACCAGGGAAGACUGUUACAUGAAGGCCGAGAUGAAGACUCUGCUAGAUUUUCAG